rnacentral:rRNA from 1 species
UACGUAGGGGCAAGCGUUGUCCGGAAUUAUUGGGCGUAAAGAGCGUGUAGGCGGUCCGGUAAGUCGGUUGUGAAAGUCCAGGGCUCAACCCUGGGAUGCCGAUCGAUACUGCCGGACUAGAGUCCGGAAGAGGCGAGUGGAAUUCCCGGUGUAGCGGUGAAAUGCGCAGAUAUCGGGAGGAACACCAAUGGCGAAGGCAGCUCGCUGGGACGGUACUGACGCUGAGACGCGAAAGCGUGGGGAGCAACAGGG